AGCAACGCCGCGUGAGUGAAGAAGGUUUUCGGAUCGUAAAGCUCUGUUGUAAGUCAAGAACGUGUGUGAGAGUGGAAAGUUCACACAGUGGCGGUAGCUUACCAGAAAGGGACGGCUAACUACGUGCCAGCAGCCGCGGUAAUACGUAGGUCCCGAGCGUUGUCCGGAUUUAUUGGGCGUAAAGGGAGCGCAGGCGGUCAGGAAAGUCUGGAGUAAAAGGCUAUGGCUCAACCAUAGUGUGCUCUGGAAACUGUCUGACUUGAGUGCAGAAGGGGAGAGUGGAAUUCCAUGUGUAGCGGUGAAAUGCGUAGAUAUAUGGAGGAACACCAGUGGCGAAAGCGGCUCUCUGGUCUGUCACUGACGCUGAGGCUCGAAAGCGUGGGUAGCGAACAGGAUUAGAUACCCUGGUAGUCCACGCCGUAAACGAUGAGUGCUAGGUGUUAGGCCCUUUCCGGGGCUUAGUGCCGGAGCUAACGCAAUAAGCACUCCGCCUGGGGAGUACGACCGCAAGGUUGAAACUCAAAGGAAUUGACGGGGGCCCGCACAAGCGGUGGAGCAUGUGGUUUAAUUCGAAGCAACGCGAAGAACCUUACCAGGUCUUGACAUCCCGAUGCUAUUCUUAGAGAUAGGAAGUUACUUCGGUACAUCGGAGACAGGUGGUGCAUGG
rnacentral:rRNA from 1 species